rnacentral:lncRNA from 1 species
CAGUUCAGCUCGGGGUUAUGCUCUGUGGGAGCAACCAAUCUCUGGCUCAGAGCUCUCACUCCAUUUGAUUUAGGCAAGAGUCUGGACAUAGUCUUUGCUAUUCCUCACUGGUUGGAGAGAAAAAGAAAAAACCCCGAACCUUAAACUUCCUGACCUCUAUGCCUGUUACGUCUGACCAUACAAAGUACUGAGAAUUUAUGCCAGGGGGAAGCCUUUCAGACCAGAGACCUUUUGUAAGGAUUAAUGGAUCUUCACAAGAAAAGUUUUCUUAAGAGAUGGAGGAUAAACAAUUCUUACAGAUUGCAGUUUCUACUUGAAACCCAUCACAACAAAAACAGUUAAGUAAACUGCAAAAUACCCAAGUUGGUUUUGGUAGGAAGAAAACUCAAACCAAAACAUACACAAGGUGUUUCAUCCCUAACGAUGAUGAGGACAGUCAGUGGUCAGAUGAAUAACCUUCUGUGUGCUACCAGGGGCUCAGACUAUGA